UACGUAGGAGACGAGCGUUGUCCGGAAUCAUUGGGCGUAAAGCGCGUGUAGGCGGCUCGAUAAGUCUGCUGUGAAAGUCCAGGGCUCAACCCUGGGAUGCCGGUGGAUACUGUCGAGCUCGAGUCCGGAAGAGGCGAGUGGAAUUCCUGGUGUAGCGGUGAAAUGCGCAGAUAUCAGGAGGAACACCAAUGGCGAAGGCAGCUCGCUGGGACGGUACUGACGCUGAGACGCGAAAGCGUGGGGAGCAAACAGG
rnacentral:rRNA from 1 species